rnacentral:rRNA from 1 species
CCCGCCGGCGACCGGCGCACGGGUGAGUAACACGUAUGAAACCUGCCCGUAGCAGGGGGAUAAGCGGAAGAAAUUCCGUCUAAUACCGCGUAACAACCCAUGGAGGCAUCUCUGUGGGUUUAAAGGAAGCGAUUCCGGCUACGGAUGGUCAUGCGUCGCAUUAGCUUGUUGGCGGGGUAACGGCCCACCAAGGCGACGAUGCGUAGGGGUUCUGAGAGGAAGGUCCCCCACACUGGUACUGAGACACGGGCCAGACUCCUACGGGAGGCAGCAG